rnacentral:rRNA from 1 species
GACGAACGCUGGCGGCGUGCCUAAUACAUGCAAGUAGAAUGCUGAAGGAGGAGCUUGCUCUUCUGGAUGAGUUGCGAACGGGUGAGUAACGCGUAGGUAACCUGCCUGGUAGCGGGGGAUAACUAUUGGAAACGAUAGCUAAUACCGCAUAAGAGUAGAUGUUGCAUGACAUUUGCUUAAAAGGUGCAAUUGCAUCACUACCAGAUGGACCUGCGUUGUAUUAGCUAGUUGGUGGGGUAACGGCUCACCAAGGCGACGAUACAUAGCCGACCUGAGAGGGUGAUCGGCCACCCUGGGACUGAGACACGGCCCAGACUCCUACGGGAGGCAGCAGUAGGGAAUCUUCGGCAAUGGACGGAAGUCUGACCGAGCAACGCCGCGUGAGUGAAGAAGGGUUUCGGAUCGUAAAGCUCUGUUGUAAGAGAAGAACGAGUGUGAGAGUGGAAAGUUCACACUGUGACGGUAUCUUACCAGAAAGGGACGGCUAACUACGUG